rnacentral:rRNA from 1 species
UAGGGAAUCUUCGGCAAUGGACGAAAGUCUGACCGAGCAACGCCGCGUGAGUGAAGAAGGUUUUCGGAUCGUAAAACUCUGUUGUUAGAGAAGAACAAGGACGUUAGUAACUGAACGUCCCCUGACGGUAUCUAACCAGAAAGCCACGGCUAACUACGUGCCAGCAGCCGCGGUAAUACGUAGGUGGCAAGCGUUGUCCGGAUUUAUUGGGCGUAAAGCGAGCGCAGGCGGUUUCUUAAGUCUGAUGUGAAAGCCCCCGGCUCAACCGGGGAGGGUGAUUGGAAACUGGGAGACUUGAGUGCAGAAGAGGAGAGUGGAAUUCCAUGUGUAGCGGUGAAAUGCGUGGAUAUAUGGAGGAACACCAGUGGCGAAGGCGGCUCUCUGGUCUGUAACUGACGCUGAGGCUCGAAGGCGUGGGGAGCAAACAGG